rnacentral:lncRNA from 1 species
UGUGGCGCUCAAAACAGUAUGAACAGAACCCACUACCUCCAUUUUUUGUUGCCUGGAGGUUGGAUUAUUAUUACCACAAAUCACUAUUUGAAACGUCACUGUCAAAAUUGAACCAUUUUGUGCAUUUGCAGUGUUGUCCCUAUUCGAGGAGAGACGACCAUCGGGACUUAUGAUGAUACCAGAGGGCAAAAUGGGAACUUUCGUUGCAUCACCUCCAUUGACAAUUGAAUUGGUUGCUCGUAAAUCUAUGGGUGCAUAGACUAAAGAUGCUCCCAUUUCAUCAAUACUCGUCUCUUCAAGCACUAACAUUUCCUUAUGCAUAUCAUAAGAAUGUUUAUGCAUUACAAUAAUUAAGAAAUGUUUGGGUAAAUACUAUAAAAGAAUAAGUGACGAUAAGUUAUGUUUCUAAACAAUAAAAAAUUCACAACUAAUCCUAUUUAAUAAUGAAUUAUAAAAGGAUUAUUAGUAAUCCUGUUACCUAUAUGACUAUAGGUCAUUUAACAACAGAUUUAUGAGGAAUUUCAUAGAAAAGUCUUGUUCUUAUUCGUAGUGAAAUAUAUUUAGCAUUAUCAGUUUACCUAAAAGAUAGUUAAAGAUAAUUAUUGGAUUACCCAAAAAGCCAAGUGAAAUUAUAAAUAUAGAAAUGAGACAAACAACAACUUGCUAUAAAUGGCUAAGCUAUGAUCAGUGUAUAUAAAUUAAACAUGAGAAUGUUAGUCUUUUGUGUGUGUGUAUUGUAAUUGUUAAUUGACUACGAGUCAAAAGUAAAAUUGGAUCGUAGAAAAUUCCUGUUGAUUCAAUAAUUAAAGAACAAAAACUCAAAAGGAAAAAAAAGAUAAAAGUUUUGAAAUUUUGGUAUUUUUGCAUGAGAAAAAAGAUAAAUCCAGUCAUACGUAAUAUCAUUUGAUUCUUGAAAAAUGUCAUUAUUACAUGAUAAUUUAGGCAGAAAUAGCUAAUUAUAAAUAAAUAAAUAUGACAAAUACCUGAAUAAUUGUAAUGUUGUUUCCUGGAAAAGUUCCUGUUAGUACUCGAUCUAAUUCAAUCACAUUAUUUCCACCGGUCAAAAUAUCCCACUAAAAAAAUCAAAUGAUAAACAAUAUCAUAAUUUAAUUGACAAAAAAUUAUUUUGUGGGAUGAGUAUAAUUAAAGAUCACGUAUUUCUAACAGUAUAUGUAUAAUCAAUGCCAAGACUUGGAAAACAUGUAGAUAAUAUAAUAUGUAGGGGCUUGAAAAAAUAAAAUCAACCGAUAAAUCGAAUCGAAAAAGUGCUAUUGGUUUAUUGCUAUUAGAAUAAUGGAUUUUAAUGAUGUUAUGGAUAUAUAUAUAUAUAUAUAUAUAUAUAUAUAUAUAUAUAUAUAUAUAUAUAUAUAUAUAAUUAUCGGGUUACUAGUUUGGUAUUUAUUUUUUAAAUAUUGGGUUAUGGGGUAAACCAUUAACUCAUCAAGACUAUAGUAAUUUACCACUUUACCAUACAUAAAUAUUAUAGAUUAAUUCUAAUACACUACUUAUUAUUUUUGUCCUUUAGCCUUCCAUUCACACUUCAUAGUGACUUUGAGUUCAUAAUUUCACAUUAUAUAAAACGUCUAAACCUAAAAUAAGAAUCUUAGUCCUCUUAAUUACUAUGUGUGUAACACUUGUAUAAUUUUUUUUGUUAGUUAUUAUUGUUUCUAUUUUAUCAGUAUUUAUACAAUUACAUUAUUAUUUUAUUGCAUCAAAUUAUUGGACAAAAUGUCAUAUAUUUUAAAAUCAUUCUUAUUGGUUAAACUGAAAAUUGAACUUUUAAGGACCAAAAUCGAUUAAAGAUAUCUUAUUGGUUUAAUUUUAGUUUAGCAUAUUUAAAAACAAAUAAACAUAACCUAUAAUAUAUCAAACGAACCGAGCUGACAUAUGCACACUCUAGUAACCAGGGAACAUAAUAUUAAAAAAUCAAUCAUAUUCUAGACUUUAACUAAUUGUUUUAAAAAAUCCUUAACACUGAAAUCAUUAUAUUUUAAUGUUAACAUUAUGAUAUUUAUUGAAAUAAUUGAGAGUUUUACAUAAAAAUCUAUACAUGAAUUGAAAAGUAAAUUUCUAUAUGCGUAUUUUUAGGGGUCAUUCGGUUAACAAGAUAUACAAGGAUUGAUAAUGUAAAAAUUACUUCUUUUCUUAGAUGUUUGGGUCAUUGCAAUGGCAAUAAAGCCUUUUGGUUGGAUAGUUUCUUCAUUUUUUACUAUUGAAAUCCUAUCUCCACGGUUUAACUGUGGUGAGAUUGAAAAAUCUCCAUGGUUGUCUGUCAUGCUAAGAAUUUCAAAAAACUUCUUAACCAUCCUUUGAGAUACUUGUAUCGUAUUUUUUAUCUCUUCUGGAUCAUGAAACACUGGAAGUAAAAUGAAAUUUAAACAUUACAAUAACAUAUAUAUCUAGUAUAAUUCCACAAGUGACAUCUGCAAAGGGUGGUCAUAUCUUGAGAAGGUAGAGGGAAUGUUUUUGAUAGAUCCUCAUUCAAGUAAAGUAUAUCCAAAUUCAGUUAUGAAAAACAAAUACAUAAGGAUAUAAAGGAGACAACAUGUAAUACUAAAGCAGAAAUAAAAUAUUAGGAAAGUAAUUAAAAAAAUAUUGAUAAAGAAACAAGAUAAGUGUGUCUUUACUUUUUUGGAAAAUAAUUUUUUUAGGAAAUCUAUUUUUAUUUUCAUAUUUUAUUUUGAAAUUACUAAAUAUAUUUUCUAAAAAAAAAUUCUAUUGAAGAUAGAUAAAAUAAAUAUUAACAUAUUGGAAAGUAUUUUGAUAAUAUUUAUACAUGUUAAAGAUAAUAAUAAUAUUUGGGUGUCGUUAAAGCACUGAUAUAAUACUCAAAGUUGAGAUGAUUGUAAAGAAAAAUGACUUUAAACGGAAAAUGAGAGAACUGGUCAUUUUUCCUGUUCUUUUGAUUGGAAUUUAUUUUCUCUAUAAAUUAUUUUCUUGGCAAAAAAAAUAAACAAUUUUUUAAUUGCUUAAAUCAUACCAAACACACCCCUUAAGGAAAUACGAAAAGUUUGAAAAGGAGAUGUUUCAAAUUAAAAAUAUGAGAAAAUUGUUAAUAAAAAAGACUUUCGAUAUUAAAAGAGUGAUCAUUUUCCGAGCCCAUUAGAAAAAAAAAUUCAUUGGUCGAACGUGGUUAAAAUACGUAUGAUAUAUAUACCUCAAAGAUUAAAAAAAUUUAAAAGGUCAUAUUUGAAACAUAUAAACAAAGAAAAGAGAUGGAUCUGGAACCCUUCAAGAUUUUUAAGUUUUUAAGUAAAGCUGCCUUGAAUUGAUGAAAAAAUUACAAUUGAUUCUUUUAUCAACUUAUAAAUUAAAAUUCAAAAAAGUAGUAAAUAAAUAAAGGGAAUAUAAAAUCAAACCUCCUUUGGAAUCAUGCCUGUUAGGGUAUGUUGAACCCAUUUGAAAAUUAAUUCUCUCACACAUCCUUUGAAGUAUAACAAUCCAUCUUUUAGCUCCGUAUGCUUCACGAUCACACAACAAAUCUCUAAAGAUAUGAUUAACCUGAUAUUUUUCAUAUACUUGAACAUGUUCCACCCAAGUAACCUGCAAAAGUAAAAAUAAUAAAGAAACAAGAAUAAAAAUAAUUAACUUAAUUGGAAAAUAAUGAGGAAAACGUGUUUGAAAUUUUUAUUUUUUAGCAAAGGAUGUCAUAAGGCAAGAAUUGAAAAGGACCAUAUGAGGAGAAAGAAUAAUCCUCGCUCUUUUGAUUCAAACAUCUGCGACAUGAACAACAGUGUAUAGGCCGGAGUUCAACAUAAAAAUGAAGACUAACAACUCUAAUAGCAUGUUAAAAAUAUAGUUAUUGAAUCUAACUCAAUCCUAAAAUAAAACUUAUCAGGUUGUGGAGGAUUUUCCAAGGUUUUUCACAAAUGGAAAGAUUAUUUUCUAAAACAAUAUGGGGACACUUAAGUAGCCCCCCAUGCAAGUCCGAAAGCUGAUCAUUUGGAGAAUAAAUUAACAACAUAAUAUGACAACCCAAAAUUAGAUAAAUCGAGAAUUAAGAUAGUUUGACUCUUAUAUAAUAUUAGAAACAAUAGACAUCAUGAAAUAGGCAUAUAUACGAGUAAAUUUGUACCUAUUUAAUAUAUCAUUUGAAAAAUAAGCUACAUAUAAAUGGUGAUAUGUAUGUUACCCAUUUGACUUGUAGAAUAAGACUUGAAUACAAAAUAACUGUGAAAUAUAGUUAGAAAGAAAGACUCUCUAUGGAUCCAAUGGGUGCAUACUUAUUUCAUAAAGAAUAGGGGGGUCGAAACUGUCAGUUUACCUACUACUGCUUUAUUGGUAGUGCAAAAGACUUUGAGUACAAUAGAUUUGAUAAUCCCAAGGCAAGAUGGGCAGAGUGAGUUGAUGAUGGACUUUGAAAGGCACAAAAAUGUGGGAUGUUUUCUACCAAUAGGAUGAAUAACUAUAUCAUGCCUACUUUUACAAGAUUAGAAUGGAAUAGUAUUACUUUGCAACGAGGAGUACAUCAAAGAUUCGAAUUUAUUUUGUGUCUAGUUGUGCAGAAAGCAUUAGCAAUUGUUGAAAGACUUGAAAAGUUUGGUAUUCAGGUGUCAAUUGAAUAUGUGUUCUGUAGUAACAGAAAGGAAACCUUUGAACCUAUUUGUUUUGAUUGACAAGUGACAAAGACAUUAUGAGAAAGAAUGUGCAUCUGGAUAGAAAUACCAAAGAAGUUUUCAUGAAUGAAUCAAGACUAGUGUUAUUGUGAGGCUUGAAUAUAUCAUUUAGAGAGAAAGAAACAAGAUUAGCUUCUAUUGAGUAAGAGUAUAUGCUGAUACGGUCUUUACAGAGAUUGUACUGCAUAUUCAUCUAAGAGGACAACACAAGGCAAGAUGGAAAUCUUUUCUACAAACACUAUAUAAGUAUCCUUAGAGUAGCAUUUCCUUUGUAAUAGAUUAGUUUAAUGGUUUCUUUUAUGUAUGAGUAGGAAGUUAGAUGGUUAGAAGAGAAGUUGUUACGUGUGUUUCUAUGUAAUGAUUUGUUAGUACAUGAAAAUCCUUGGGAUAAAAAACUAAAAUAAAUUUCAAGAACAAAUGCAUGAUAACACUACAUACAAUUGACCACAGUAAUAUGGACCAUGUGUAUAGCGGGAGCUUAAUGCACAUAAUUUUCCUAUUAUAAAAUAUUGAUAUAGAAAGAGGAUAUGAUUCUUACCUUACUUUGGCCAUUGCCCAUAUCCUUAAUCGCACAACCAGAUGGAAACUUCCAAGAAUAAGAUGGUACACCACUCUGAAUGUCGUUGAAUAUAUCAUAUGAAAUAUCCACCAAGAUCCAUGUUGUUGCAUCAAGUUGUCUACAACCACGUAUGAAGAAAAAUUCUCUAGCUCCAACUAGAGGAGAUAAAAUAUGCAACUUUUCAUACAUCUGAAUUCAAGAAACAAAAAAAAUGAUCAUUUUAUGAGUCAAUUUCAAUACUGAUUUAAUUUCUAGGGGAAAAAUCUAAAAGAUGUAUUAAUAUUUUACCAAUUGCAUAGAGCCUCCCCAAGUACAGAAUCAAGAACUUCAAUAGUCUUAGCUUUUGUGACUAUAGUAGGAAACAAGUUCAUCCAUUUGACCUACAUAUAAAAAACAAUUACUUUUAAGCAUAUUAUUAAUUCUUAAAAAACAAGUAUGACAACUAUGUCUAAAAAUAAGUACUGAUUGUCCAUGUCCAUAACUCCAUAUAAACUCAUCUUAAUGAAUAUUGUAUGGGAGAAAAUUAAAAAGUGAAAUUGAAUCAACCUAAUAAGAAAUAGAUUUUUUUUUUUUAUUCAUGACCUAGAGUUAGAUUUCAAAAUAUCAUGACAGUUUCUUAUAUCUCUUACUUGCUCAAGUUCAAAAUCCAUGAUAUUGGCAUGGUAUGUUUCCACAUGAGAAGUGGUAAGUUUCCAACGAAUUCUCACAUAAUGGAUACUUUUCAAAAAUCAACUAGCGCUCCCAAUCUUUAAUAUACAACGCAUAUAUAUAUAUAUAUAUAUAUAUAUAUAUAUAUAUAUAUAUAUAUAUAUAUAUAUAUAUAUAUAUAUAUAUAUAUAUAUGUAAAACAUGAAAGUGUUCAUGAAACUUAUUGGAUCAAGAAAAUUAUGGAUCAAUUCAACUGCAGUCAUUGACACAAUUCCACAAUCCUUUGAUAAUUCAAUUCGACCAGUUGAUGUUUGGGGAGGUAGAACUUGAUUUGAAAAUUUUCUUCCAUGAAUCUCACGAUGAAUAAAACACCGCCUAUCACUUGAUGAAUCUACCCAAGAUGGAUCAUUGAUCUUCCAAAGUUCAACCAUUUCAUUCAUAGAAGCAACAAUAGUCUCAAACAUAAUUGUUUGCUGCCUACUAUCAUGAUUACAUUCAUCAUGUUCUUGUGGUUAUUGAGAAAUCAUUGAAUGUGCAUGAACAUUAUUACUAUUUUGAUUGUUUUCUUGACGAAGAGGAGGAUAUCUAAUGGGAGAGCCACAUGUAUCUUGGUUCAACAAACAUCCAUCAGAUGAAUUUGAAUGUGAUCCAAGAGUCGAUAUUUGUGGUGCCAAAUUUGAAUCCAUCACAAAAGGUCUUCAAAAAACAUGUGAGAUGAGAUUUGAUACUUUUUCAUCCUGAAAAAAUAAAAUUUUAAGUUAAUUUACAUAAAUAAUAUGUACGUAUUUAAAUAAACAUAUUUGAGAAGUGUAUAAUUUGCUAUUAGUGUAUAUAAUUUAAAUUCUUUCAAUCAAUUAAUUGAUUGUGAGAUCAAAAUUAUCUCUCUUGUCAAGGGACGGUGCAACUCAUAUGCACGGGGCGGAAACAAAUCCAAGAUAUAAUUUAAAACAUUUAACACUAGUGUAAAUCUCAUUAAAAAGAGAAUCAUUUUGUUUAACAUACUAUCACAACCCUAACAAGGUUUGAGCUCAUCUAUCCCUAAGACCUUUUGUUAGGGAAAGAUGAAUCUUAUCCAUACUAUCACAACCCUUGGUAGUAGGAUUCCAAAGAUUAACUGUUGUAUUUAUAAAAUUAUCGAUCCAAAGAUAAUAUUAUUUGAUCUUACUCCUCCAUUUUUUAUUAUAAGAUAUGUUCUAAUACCUUAAAUUUUGGAUUAAUCCAUCAAGUUCAAACCAUGAAUUUGCCUCGUCUUUGUUAUAUAUAAGUAAUUCUUUUAAGAAUAAAUAGAAAUAUUAACAUAAAAAAUUAAAUAAAUAGGAUAAAAAGAAGGUUGAAUAACUUGUUAUGUCAACCGAAGGUUGAAUAACUUGUUAUGUCAACCAUUGAUUUUCUGUUUUCAUAUUUUCUAAAUUACUUUCUCUUUCUUCUUUUCCAAUAGGAAGUCCAUCACAUUUUGGACACAUAAUAUUCUUCAUUUCCUCUUUCAUUGCCUUAUAUUCACAAAGAAUUUUUUUUAAUUUUCGAAGAGCAUUGUUAAUGGAUGUCUCAAUUUUAGUCUGAUGAAAUAUAUAUAACAAAAAUUAAUCACGUAUCGAAUAACAAUACAAACAUAAUAUAACAUAUAGGUAACUAAAUAAUUGUUCAAAUAAUUAUUAUGUUAAAUUUUCACUCUUAACAAAUAAAGGAUCAAUAGUUCACAUUCCAAUAAAUUGAAGAUUUAGGUAUUGAGUAAGAUAUUACUUGUAUCAGAAUUAGAAUAUUAUAAUAAUUGAAGGACGAAAAAUGGUGCUUAGCCUUUUUAUAAUGCUUGAAAAAUAUUUUUUCCAUUCAUGUUUGCUUAAAAGUUCAAAAUUUCAUUCUAAUUUGAACCACAUACACAUUCUUCCUCGUAUAAGAAAUAUAUUUUAAAGAAUUUUUACAUUAGGUGAAAAAAUUAAUCCAUGAAAAUUUAGUUUACUCAACUUACCUAAAUUUAACUAGAAGUUCUGAACCACAUAUUAUCUGAAUCACUACUACUACCCAUAGCUCCCACAACUAAAAACUUCUCUAUGAUAUCAAGAGUACUGAUCAUAUUCAAGCUUUACCAUUUUAUCCUCGGUUUGUUACCUAGUAUCAUCUUCUUCCUCUCCCUUACAAUCAGAAAUCCAACAGAUGGAGUUAGUGUUAGGUCGUUAAAUUAUCACUCGGGAUAACCAACAGUCUUUAUGAAGAACAUUAUGUUCCUUCCUAAGAAGAAAAUAGUCUAUAUGAGUUUUAUCUACUGUGCUAUGGAAGGUGACCAAGUUCUCCCCCUCCUUGAAAAAACAUGAAUUGACUACCACCAACCCAAAAGCUAUUGAAAAAUUCAUAAGUGAGACUCCUCCUCAUUCUUGUCCCUGAAAUUGAAACCUCCAUACUAAUCACUACACACCAUUGGAGUAGACUCGAUGUGUCCAUUGAAAUAUCCUUCUAUGAAUAACUUCUUUGUAUUUGAAACACCUCCACCCACCUCGUCCAAAUCCUCCCAAAAAGUUUUCUAGUCCUCCUUGUCCAAGACAAUUUGGAGAGCGUAAGCACCAAUAAUGUUCAAACUGAAAUCUCCAAUUACUAACUUAAUCAUUAUCAUCCUAUCAUUGAUCCUCCUUACCUCAAUCACUUCCUCCUUAAGCUCACAAUCCGCUAGGAUGCCUACUUUAUUCCUAAUCGUUACACCUUUAGAGUAUCACAACUUAUACUUAUCCAUAUCACAUUCCUUCUAUCCUUCUCAUUUGGUUUCCUGGAUGCUAGUUAUCCUUCUCUUUUUGAGAAUCUUCACUAGCUCUAUGAAAUUUCCUAUCAAAGACCAUACUCUUAUUCUAGAUGUGAUAAAUAUAGUCAUGUUAAGGAAAUAACAUUAUUUGGUAAUUGAACAACUAACGAGAAAAAUUAUUUUUUGAUAGAAGUUGAAAAAUUGGGUUGUGGUCUAUUUUAAGCCCAACCCAACCCAAAUAAUUUAUUCAUCUGCUCAUUUAUAUAUACAAAUUAUUUUGACUAGCCUGAACUUCAUUCAAUUUAUCCAUUUAAUAUUUCAAGAUUUCCUUCAUUCAUCAAGUAAUGUUGAAAAGGAAAUCAUUAGUUUUGAGUGGCAAAACCAAAUUUUUCUGACUUUAAAUUCUCAAAACCUAGAAGGGAUUCAAUUUUUUGUCCAUUUUGUAAUUCCUUGCUAACUAUUGAACUUGCUAGGGAGUUCAUGCACUUUGAAUUAUUUAGAAUUCUUGUAUUAUUGAUUUUAUUAAGCAACAACUUAAUUGACUUAGAGGUUAGAUAAUGAAAAUAAUUUAAAUGAAAAGAAAUUUAUUUAAUAAAGUCUAUAUAUUAAUGAGAGAACAUACUUUCAAAUUUAUUGAUCAAUUCAACAUGAAAAAUCAAAUUAGUGAUUUAGGAAAACUAUAUAGAAAUUGAAAAGUGAAAUCAUCAAGAAUGGAAUUUAUUGUACGCGGCUCGGGGGGUUGGUGAUAGUGGUAGUAAAUAACUUGAUUAUAACGAGGAAUAAAUUAUCUUAUUUAUUCACACAUCCUAACAACUUAACCAAAUAUAGAGAAACAAUUUACCAAUAGAUCACUGCUUUCAUUAAAUUAUUUCAUCUUUUGUCAUUACUUUUUCUAGAUUUUUUAAAAUUUUAAUGAAAAAAAUAUUUUAAUUUGUUGUUGUGUGUAAACAACAACAAAAACAACAAUAAUAUCCAAUCAAUUACGUACAAUUGACAAUAUAUAAAGGAAUUAAAUAAUCAAAAGUACCUUUGCUUGAGCCCUUUUGUUUUGGAACCAAAGCUUGACCUGCUUAUGGUCAAGCCUGCUUCGCUACCCAAUUGUUUUUGUUGAUCCUCAUCUUGAUGAGGGCAUUUGUUGAAGAAUCUUCAUUCAAAAAUUCAUGAAGAGAAAAUAUUAUUGAUUAUUUAUUAAAAAAAUAAACCAAAAAAGAAAAUAAAAAAAAAUAUCAUAAAUACAUGGUGGAUUAACAAGUAUUUCUCCACCAUUAAUCAGUUCUUAAGUUCGAGCAUUGGAACUAAAACUUUAGUAAGGAACGUUUGACCAUAAAAUGGGACUUGAUUCCACACUUGAAUUUGAAUUUGUCGGGCCCUAGAUCAACUAACAGAUACUCACUAAAGAUUGAGGAGUAGUAAGUACUCUUUUAUUCUUAACUAGAAGCAAAUCUGAAUUAAGCAGAUCCUAAAGUGUGAUUUUUCAAUGUAAAUCUAGAUUACUCGGUCCCAAAAGAUAGAUUUUUUACGUGAUCUAGAUUAGUUGGGCCCUAAAAUGAAAUUUCUCGAAAUAAAGUUAAAUUAGUCAUACCUCAAAAGAGGUAUCUAACAUAAUGGGAAAUAGAUUAUUUGUGUUUUUGUUGCUAAAAUUAGAAAGACAUUGAACUUUAACGAACUCAUCUUAUUAUGUUAAAGUCAUAAAGAAUAAACAAGUUCAUUUAUAAUGAUGUAUAUAUAACAAAUUAAUCAUCAAAAUAAAAUAUUUCAAAACUAUUUUAGCAACUCAACAAAAGAAAACAGGGAAUGUGAAAUCAAAAAUACAAAUCUUUUAUUAAAUAUAGUGGAAAUGUGGGGAACAAAAAUCAAACCAAAAGAAAAAUCAAUCAAAAUAAAUAAAUAUCAAUUGAUUCACAAAAAAUACAUACAAAAAGGAAAUCAAAUAUUCUAUCACUAAAGAAAUUUAAUUUUACCACUGAUAAUUUAAUUUUACUACUGAUGCAGUUUAAGAAAAUAACAUAAUCUCUUUGAACACACAAAAAAAUUGAACAGAUUUAUCCAAAGGAUCAAAUUUUUUUUUAAAAAAGUUGAUCUUACGCAUCAAGUCUUUGAAUUUGUUCCAUAGAAUGGUUGUGGUAUUGUCCAUGCCUUUCCGAUCUUUUUUGCGAAUUUGAUGAUUCUCCAGCAGGUUCUUCCACAGAAUCUGUCAUAUUUUUGGAUAAUUUUCUGUUUGAUUCUAUGCAAUUAUUUUGCAUUCUCUAUUUUUUAAACAUAUUCAUUUAUUUCAUUAACAUAAUUUUGCUAGUAUUUUAAAAUUAAAUGAGGAUUAAGAGUAAGAUUAUAGAUUUAUGUUUUCCUAUUCUUUUCAAUCAUAUGCAUGAAUGUAAUUUUGAAAUUUAACAUAUAAAAAUAUAUAUAUUAAUUUUUUUUUGAGUCUAGAACUUAUGUUAUAUUUUUAGUUUCAUUUGUUUUAGUAGUAUUGAUUUGAAACUCCAUAUUGCAAGUUAUUUUUUUAAUAGACUUGAUAUAUUAUCUUUUUGUCACAUAUUUUAAAAUUUUAUAACAUAAUAUUAAUCUUUUUGUCUAACAUGCAUUUAAUUUUCAAAUUUAAUAUAACUUUAUGGUUGCAUUUGCACUUCCAAACAAUACAGUUGUAAUUAUAGUUUAAUUCCACUGUGGCAAAUAAGCAAGUCGAUGUCAUUACAAGGUUGUAUAAUGAUUAUGUUGAUAUUUACUAUCCUAAUAAUUACAUCAAUUCUUUCAAACAGACCAAAACCGUGAAGAGUGAAGAUAAGAUAGGAAUUUGAAUUUCUUUUGGUUUUCUCUCUUAAAAGAUUUGGUUUGAUAUAAGUAGAUAUGGUAAGUAAUUUAUAAAUUCUAUAUUUAAAUUUCAAGUUAAUUCCUUAUAUGGACAUUUGAGAACAAUUCUUUCCUUCAAAUCACAUAAUUAUUUUUCUAAUAGUAAAAUCACAAUUUUUAAAACAAUUUUUUAAAUAUUUAAUGUAAUAUCUAACAAAAUCAAUCAAAAGAGGAUCGACAAGACUUGUCCCCUAAAGAAUUAAGGAAAAAUGACAUGGAAUAUACCUCUCAAAUUCAAAAUUUAGAGUUGAUAUAUCAUUUGUUACAAAAGUGACUCGUAUAUAGUCCUAUUAUUACAUAAAUAGCUCAAAUAUAUCAUAUUUGUCUAAUGGGAGUGAAAAAAAUAAUUAAAUUUAUUUUAUUUUUUUGUUAUAUAAUUAAAAACUAGAAUCUAUGUAGGUAUAUUUGAUUUGAUCGCAAAGUUAAGAGGUACACUUGAUCUUUCUCAACUAUGAGUUUUUUUUUCUACGUUCUUUAAUUCAAUGAAUAUUUAAAUUUUACUAUCCUAACUAGGUAAUUUUUCGACGCUUCACGCGGUCAUAAAUAAUAAUUGCAUUGAACUUGCAAAUAAUUUUUUACUAAUAUCCAUACAUUAAAAAUAAUAGAAAAAUUGAUUCUUAAAAAAAUAUUAGCAAUAUUCCAACAUGAAUUUGAUUCUUUGUCAUUAUCACAGAAGUCAAGAACCUCUAUUGAAUGAAUUAUUCACGAUAUAAUAAAUAAUUGGUUCCUUAAUUAACAUUCAAAGAAAAAUAAAGAAGAAAAUAUGAAUAUAUAUACAAAGGCGUUUCGUAAUGAAAAGAAACAUUUAAGCUGUAGAGAUUAUACUAUUGUGAUAUAUGUCCAAACAGAAUUCAAAAUUUUGUUAACAUAUUCAAAAAAGAAAUUAUGCUUACACAUGAAAACAAGUAUAUAUUUUGAACAUGCAUGAAUUUCUUCAAUUGAUAAGUUAGAAAUUUCAUAUUUAUGUACGAAAAGAUAAUAUGUAAACUUAUAUAUAGUACUUUUAUAAUACUUAUUUUUUGUACAAUAAAUAUACGUACUGUAUAUGUAUAUAUUCAAUAUGACCGGAAAAAAUAACUUUGCAUAAACAUAAAAAAAAUUAAAAUAGGUACUCAAAAACAACAAUUAAUAUCAUAAACAUAAAUUAAAGAGUGAAAAAAACAUACCAGGAUAUGUAUAAAUAGAAUAAAAUAUAAAGAAAAAACUCGAGUCCACUGAAUACACAAUGUCACCUUAAGAAAACUAUUCCCCUCCAAUACAAGAGGUUCAAACAAUUAUAUCCUCUCAGGAUGAAAUAAUUUUAUUCACCAACUAGUGGUAUUAGUAAGUCAUUCAAAUGGACAAAAGUACAAAAUUAAUUUCGCAAGAAGUAGAAGAAAAAAGAUCAGAAAUUUUUGGUGUUUUAAAAUGAGAGGCAAUCUUUCUAUUUAUUGACAACAAAAUAUACUGUGAACAAAUGUUUAUUGUGCCUUAUCAAAAAGGUUACAACUAUUUGAAAAACUUUCAAUCCCUCGAAAAGUUAAAAACCUUUAAUAAAAGUCACAAACUUUUCAUAAAGUCACAAAUUUUCAUUAAAGUCACACCCUUUCAUAAAAGUCAGAACUUUUGAUACAAGUCGUAACUCUUCAUUAAAGUUGUAACUUUCCAUAAAAGUCACGUCUUUUCAUCAAAUAUGAAGGCUAGUUUUGAAAAUAAAUAAAUUUAAAAGAAAAUUUUUGCUUGUAGUGGCGCCACGUAGGCAGACCUAGGGUUCUCUUUUAUAGAAAUAUAUGGUAUGAUGAUGAUCAAAUUUAUUUAUACACUAAUUUUCUUAUAAAAUUUAUCAUAGACCCCCUCCCCCUCCCCCGCCCUUUAUUUUCCAAAUAAAAUAACUUACAAUGUAGCCUCAAAAGCAAAAUCUUGAAUUAUAUUGUUCUUUUUCCAUUCACGUUUCUUCAUUUAUAUUUCUCGUAUUUUCACACUAAAAAUUAAUGGGAAAAGGAUUGGAUAUAACCCUCAACUUUACCAUUAUAACUAAUAUAUACCUUCUUUCAAAAGUCACUCACAUAUACUCUUAGCAUUACACAAAUGACUCAGACAUGAAAAUUUUGUGAAUUUAAGGGAUACAUUGGAAUGGAGUGAUAAGUAAAAAGUAUAGCGAAAAAUUAAGUGUCAUCAAAAAUGAAAAGUAUAUAAAAAUAUAUGAAAGAUAUAUGAAGAGUAGAGAAUUUUGGGCUCAUUUUAGGCUUUUAGUAUACCAAAAGUAAUGUUCUCAAUGUCUAUUUACAACUUAUUCUGAUCAAAUGUAUUUGUAUUUCAAUUAUGAGACCGUAAACAUGGAUACAAAUGAGAUCAAAACCAGCAAAAAAACAUAAGGAAAUAUGCAAAGUCGACAGUAACUGUCACCUAAGUUGACUCGAUACAUCGCGGAAAAUUACAGUUCUUAACCCUCAAGUUCAUCUCAGUUUGGAAAUAUCAGGGAGAAGUCGGUGUAUCGUCAAUGUGAUUCGGCGAUGGUCAUUGGUGUCGUAAAAUGUAACAGGAAAAGAAAGAAAAAUUAAAGUUGGAAUGUCUGAGUGGCAGUGAACUCUACCAUUUAGCCUAUAACCUGACCUACUUGGCUGUCUCAGAUUAGUUAAGUGAAAUAACACUGAAAUGAUCCAUCUCGAUCAUUACGAAUAGGUCAAUUGUGAAAGAAUUUGGGUUGAAAGUUUACAGAUAGUGUCUCAAGAAUUUUAGGCUAGGUCAACCUCAGAAGAAAUAUGGACUAGGUGCACUCUAGGACCAUCUGAUAGUAAGUGGGGUUAAGUGCAUGGGCUUGGUGAAAGGUUUCUUGUAGCCAAGACAAUAAGGAACCCGUUGGGCUUCAAAAGUGAUUGUAGUUCUAUGCAUUGAUUUGUUUUAUUCUAAUGUAGUCAAUUGGUUACACUCAUAUCUUGGACCGAACGUAUAAUCCUACUAAUGGUUUGUAUUGGAAAAAUAUUAUUUUAUAUAUGUCAAAAAGAAUCAUUUUAUAUCCUAUUAUAUUUUGAAGAGAAUAUAUUUUUAUGUCCUAAAUAUUUUCCCUCCAUAAAUAGCCUUUGAUUGACCAUUACUCCUAAUCCAAAUAUACGUUUGUUUCCAUCUUAAUAAUCAUUCUUGAAUAAGUAAAUGAGGAGAAGAUAGUUUGUUUAACCAAAAUAAAUUGCUCAUUUUGCCACAAUGUUGUUGUUGGAAUAUGUGCAUCCACUACCAAUCAACGGACCAGGUCACUUGACACAACAAGAACAGUGCGGAAGAUUAAACAAUAUGAAGAACACAACACAAGCAGUUUAUGUGAAAACCUCCAGGCUCAAGGGAGUAAAACCACGACCUGUUGCACAGGAUUUGCAAUCCUCUUCACUAAUCUUCCCAAGCAAAAGUGAAACCCGGUAACAAUCAAUCUGAGAAAAAGUUAUUAAUCUCACGAUCAAGUAAUCUACCUAUUACUUGAAGAGCCUAAGCGGAUACAACACCGCCCACUGAACCACCUAACUCGAGAUGACUUAGAAUUUGACUAAGCAACAAACAAAUGUUGCCCACUAAAUCAGUUAACCUUAACUGAUUUAGACUUUUACAAGCCCAAAACAAAUAUUUGAAUCCUUUAUAGAUUAGGAAUAGAUUUACAAUGUAAGUACAUAGACACAAAGCUCUAAAUACAACAAAGAUUCUUUUUUACUCUAUCAAGUCCUUCUGUUAAGUUGAGCAAUGUUGUUCCUUGAAGAUGACCUUCUGUUCAAGCUUGUGAGUUUUCAGAGAAAAUCCAAGCUUAAUUUGCAAAGUCUUGAAUUUCUGUUUUUUGGAAAGAGAUAAUAUAAUUUCCUACAAAUUCAUUGAAGUCAUCCCAUUGGCUGAAGGCCUGCUGUUGGAAAAGUUGUCCACUAACCGCAUCACAGAUGACAACUUUUCUGAUAGUUGUCUUUUCGUCCUUUUCACGUUGCAGUCUUGCAGGUACUAGGUCCCUUGCUUUCGAAAACCAGGUCCCUUGUAAACUUCUAUAUGAGUUCUUGAAAAGGCUUGAUGGCUGACUUCCUUCUUUGGAUGAAUGAAUAUAAUAUGGUGUUUGUCAUGCUAAAAGUACCAAACGUAAACACUCAUUAGCCAUUGGACAAACACCCUCCUCCAUUCUGAUUGGUGUAGUACACUGACGCCUUACCAACCUCUGACUUGACAGCUGUACAGCUGUAACAAAUUAUGUAUCUGAUGGAGGAAACUUUGCUCGUACCAGGUCCCUGCAUUUGUGAGAUACUGAAACAUACAAUCUCAUCCGCUCUUCUAAUUGGUGUAGGAUACAACACUUUUAACCUACCACCUGACAUGACAACUUUUAUGACUGUACCCCAUUUGUAUCUGGACGAGAGCACUCUGCCAGGAACCAGGUCCCUGCAUUUGAUAGGAUCAUCAAAACACCUAGAAUAUAACAUUUUCCCCUUUUUUACUGAUAGCAGAAAAAUAUACCUCACACUGAGUUUAUCAUUCAUCUUAUUGUCAGCAUUUCCAAUAACAAGGAUUUGGUUCCUUGUUAGAUCGAUAAGUUUGUUAAAUCAUCAAAACAUCAUAUCAAGUUUGAGCUAUCAUCUUAACUCAGCUUGUAAAAUCAUCAAAACAUCAACAUAUCAUUUUCCCCUUUUUUUAUGAUGACAAACAUCUUCUUCCCCCUAUCGACAUGACCAGGUCCUCGUUAGGUAGCAAGCAUUUAUUCCCCUAUCAUCAUGACCAUAUCUCUUCAAGUAGCUACCACUGAUUCCUCCUAUCAAUGUGACCAUGUCUUCUUCAAGAAGUUAUAACACUAUUGAUCUCAUACCUUACCUUAACAACUCUUCCCCAUUUGAAAUUAUAAAAAGGGGUUAAAGCAGUAAACCAAGUUGACAGAAAUAUAGUUCUUGCAAAUUCAUGGCCACUUGGGCAACACAGAGCAUUAGCAAAAAGGCAUAAAGUAAUGAGACAAGUCUGUAGAAACAAGACAUUUAACAUCCAUAAACAAAAGAUUAGUCAUCAAAGCAUUGCACGUAUGGUUACAGAUGAAAACCAGAACAAUGCCCAAGAGAUAAAUGAGGACUGACAUAGAUAGGUAGGAAGAUAAGGGAUGAUUUAGAGGCAUGAGAUUGAAAGAAUAGAAUUAGUAGAGCAUAUCCCUAGCAUAAGAUUUCAAGAAUCUUCUCUUAGCGUACAACAUAAUGUGCAACCCAACCUGUAUGUUUAACCUUCAGGGCUGCCAAUUUUUAUCAUUUUUUUUUGUUGGCACCUGGUCCCUUUGAUAGUGUUGUUUCAUAAUGCUGGGCUAUUAAACAACCCAUUUUAGUAUUCCAGUUAACACGAGCAACUGACAUAGCUUCCAACACCAGCCUGAGUUUUUCAUAACAGAAAGAUUGGUAACACAAACAACUCAAGGCCUCCAAGAUGAAUAGAUCAAUAAUUGAGGAAUCAAGAAGAUUUUUUUACACCUUCCUCUUCAGAAAACGUUGAGUUCUCAGAAUAUCAACUUCUCCUUUUUUAGCAUCACCUUUUCCACUUCUUCAUUUUUGAUGGAUGACCAGAUCCCUCUUCAUACUGAAAAUAUUUUCAUCAAAGAAUUCUCCAGCAAGAAUCAAGGGGUUAAAAAUUUGAAGUGUGUUUGAAAAGUAGAGAAAAGAGAAUUUUGAAGCACCUUUUUAUUUGGAAGGAAACUCAAUUUUUCUGGGAAUAUAGAAGAAAUAUGGAAUAUAAAUAAAGUGAAAAUAAGGUAUCAUUUUGACACUCAAAAGAUGAAAGAACAGUCAGAUUCCUGAAGGACAGACAUGUGGCAAUUUCAAUGAUUCUCAUGCAUAAUUCAAACUGCAAUGUUAAGAUUAUUAACCUUCGAGAAAGGACCAGGUCAUUCUUUGUAGUUUGAAUGUAAUUGCCUAGAUCUAUCCUGGCCUCCCUUUUUCUUCAUCCCCUUUUCAAUGUGUGUAUACCUACAAAAGGUAUGAAACUGAAUUUGCUAAAACAUACAUAACCGAAAAUCAAGGAUACCUUCUCCCCUUUUCAUAGUCAUUCAAAGAGUUUAUUGCUUCAGGUAUAAUCCAUUCAAGAAGGUUUUAGCAUUUCCAUCAUUAUCUUGAUUAAUUCAGCCAGAUUUUUAUGAGCUUCAAGAUGUUUCCUGAUCCACAAUAGUUGACCCCAUCAUGAUACACUUGCUACAUUUAUUACCUCAGUUGAUGAAAGAGCAAUUAAAUCUUGCCUUUUAAUUCCACAUGAGUGAAAGAUCAGCGCAUAACAGAAUCCACUCUUUAGGUACUCAAUCUAUCAGUUGAUACUUAGCAUAAUCAAAAACACCAUGUACUACAAAUAAAAAAGUCUCCCAAUGGACAGAAUAGGACCAGGUCCUCUAUCUUCUUCAGAUGACUUAAGAUUUUCUCAGCAGCCUUCAAAAUAUUUUCCUUUGUAAAUGAGUAGAGUCUUUGAACCAGAUCGAUCAGCAUCAAACUUCUAGUUAGUUCCUAAGAAAGUAUGAAUUGUCUAUACACCUAAAACAUGAAGCCCUUUCAGCAGCUUCUUUGAACUGGUAUUGGUUUCUUCUUUGAUCAGACAUCAAUGACCCCUGAAUGUUGUUCUAUAUUCUUCUCUGUAGCUAAGCUCCUAUGAGAGUAUUCGACUGGUCCGUGCUUAGAGCUUCAGUAAAGAUGUCACCCACUUAAUCUUCCUUCUUACAAAACAUUAUGAUGACACUAUCCCUCUUUAUCAUUUUUUAACAUCAAAUAUUUACGUCGUUUGAUAGCUCAUUAAUGUGCUUUUCAGGACAACCGAGGGUACCUUUCAAGGUGCGCUAUAUCUGUAGCUCUAGGAAGAAAUUUAAUUCUUCCAUUAUGUUUAUUUCAACACUCACUUUCAAUGAGUUAAAUAGAAAUAAGAUCUUCACACAACACCUCAAAGAUUGCCUCAAAGAUGACAUCAUCAAUAUGUACCUGAAUGAUCAGCAGUUCCUUGUAUAUUGAAUUCAAAGAGAAGAGUUUUUGACAAUUUUACUUCUCUUGAAGACAUUGUUGAGGAGCAACUUGGACAACCGAUCAUCUUGUAGGGUAAUCGACUAUCAGAUUUUUAUUCUUUCAAACUGAGCUUGAUUAGCUUCUUCAUUGUCACCUUCGAAUGUCACAUUAUCAGUUUGAACUGCAUCAUCUUUGUUCAGCACUAUCUAGAAACCAGGUCUCUCAUCAAGUUCAUCAUCUACAUGAUCUUAUUUGAGAUUGUUGGAUUCAUGAAUAGGAUGUUCUUCAGCAAGCUCACUAUUUAAACCAUUUCUCUGAUUCUGAAGCAACUCUUCUAUCUCAAAAACUUCUUUCCUUGCAACUUCCAAAAUCUUCUAGACUCAUCAAUAAACACAUGACCAUUUUUAGUAUACCCCUGAUAAGCCUUGCUGGUGGAGUAGUGUACCACAAUUAUUCUUUCAUCAAUGUUAAGAUCAAACAUCUCAUUAUCAUCAUUUUGGUCACAAACAUGUACCAUUUAUCACUUCAGUCAAAAGUUUCUUGAAAGAUUUAAAGUCUGCAUAUUUCACCUGAAGGACGUCUGAUCUGCUUCUCCUUAACAUCAUCAUCAUAACCUUUGUCAUUUACAAAUAUUAUUUUAUGCAGACUGGACCAGGUCCCCUGACACAGGUUUGUCCAGCAAAGCAACACUCAUGAGCACGUUUCCUUAAUCACACCCAAUACCUUGAGCAUUAAGUUCAGUGAGACUAUCAAAAUGAGUAGUAAAAAGAUCAGCAAUAUAUAUAUUCUUGCAUCUCUUUUCUAUCAAAAUCAUCGACCGAGAGAGCAAGUUUGAGACAAAACAGUUAUCUGAUAAGAGCUUACCUUAAUUUCAUUCAUCACAAAUCUACACCAAUAAUGUAGUGUUUAUUGCCAUUUGCCAAAAGAGACAUCUCCACCUUGAAGUGUCUUGAGAGAGAGGAAGUUCAGUGCUUUGAGCAUCCACCAUUCAUGAAUCGACACUGGUUGUUGCCACUUCCUCUCACAAGAAUGUCAUGUCACGUGUUAGCCUUGGGAACCCACUUCAGUUGAAGUUUCCAGUAAGAAGAUAAAGGAGUGAUAAGAGAAUUCUUUGUCCAGUGAGGCAAAUUUAUAUUUUUCAACUUAGGAAUAGAAGCAAGAACAGGUCCCUUCUUCUGCAAGUUCUUCUGUUGGACAUACAUAGGACCAGGUCCUUUCUUCAGUCUAUUCCGUUAUUUGGAAUAGUUUGAUGAACUUUCUCCACAAUCUUUAAAUGCAGGACAUUCUCUUUUGCAACUCAGAUCUCCUUUUAUGUUGUUUCUUUGACUGAGUAUAUUUGUAAGGAUCUUAGAGGAAUUAGUCCAUUUGAGGGAAUUUUCAAGUUCCUCUUUUACACGGACCAGGUCCCUCUCCAAUGCAUGAUUUCUCUCGAAAGCCACCUUAAUCUUCAUUUUAGCAGUAUGCAGCUUAUUUUCAAGGUCUAGCUGCAAUUUGAUAGCCUCACUCUUUUUAUUUUAAAAAUUGUAGUAGUCGCCCCUUUUAUCUUUUCCUUUAGUUCUAGAUUUUCUGUUUCUAGAACAACCAUUUGACUUUCAAUAUCAGAUACUUGGGCAACUAAAUCAGUUUUUCAAUCUUGAAAGAUGUCUAGGUUGUUGUUUACGAGAUCUUUCUCAUCUUUCAUCUCACUUAUCAAAUAAGAUAGACUUACCUUUUCAUCAGAAUCUUCUUCGUCUGACUUUGCCAUAAAACCAUUAUCUGUGUUUUCAGAAUCAUUUGAAUCACUUGAGGAUUUUUCCCAUGCAGCCAUUUUUCUUUUUACUGCCCCGAAGAAGACUUCUCUUCUGCUUAUCUUGGGACAGACCUGGUCCCCUUCUUUGUCUUUACCUUUUGUAUUCUUGACACUAGGAACAGGUUCUUCAAGGAACAUGAGCUCAUCUAUGAUUUUGGAGAAUCUGGUGCGCACUUCAUGAAUGAGUUCACCAUCAUUCAUGCUGAAAUCUUCAAACUGAGUAGAAAAAAAAUCUACCUUAGAUUUCCUUAUUUUCUCAGUGCCCUCAUAUUUUGUUUUUAACAGAUCCCAAAUUUCCUUGGCUGAUUCACAUGAUGAAAUCAGAUCGUAUUCAUUUAUACUAAGGCCACACAUCAAUAGCUUCCCUGGUUUAUGAUUUUUCUGGACUAAUAGUUUGUCAGAGUCAUUAAAUUGUUUUCUAGUUUUGAAAAUGACUCUUGUGACCUCUCCAUCUUUAACCUCCAUAGUUGACACAUAAGGACCUUAACAUAUGACAUCCCAUACUUCACUGUCCUCACCCAUGAGAUAAUCUCUCAUCUGAAUCUUCAAAUGUUCAUAGAGUUUACUAUCAAACAGUGGAGGUCUUGUGGGGGACUGAUUUCUUUGAUUAUUUAGUAGUGACGCCAUUUCUCGCAGGAACUUUUCUCUUGGCGUUAACCAGAUAAAGAGCACCUGCUCUGAUACCAUUUGUUGGAAUAUGUGCGUCCACUACCAGUCAAUGAACCACGUCCCUUGACACAACAAGAACAGUGCGGAACAUUAAACAAUAUUUAUGUAUGUAUGUAUGUAUGUGUGUGUGUGUGUAUGUGUGUAUGUUGUAUGUAUGUAUGUAUGUAUGUAUAUAUGUAUUUAUAUAUAUGUAUUAUCAUCAUAUCAUAUAUUUAUAUGAAAGAGAACCUUAGGCCUGCUUAUUUGGCGCCACUACAAACCAGGAUUCACUUUUUCCUUAAUUAUUCUCAAAAUUAGUCUUUCCAUACAUGAAAAGUUGUGACUUUUAUGAAAAAUUGUGACUUUUUAUGAAAAUUUCUGACAUAUACGAAGUGUUGCAAAUUUUAUGAAGAGUUGUGACUUUUAUGAAGAGUUGCAAAUUUUACGACAAGUUGCGACUUAUAUGAAGGGUGGCAACUUUAGUAAAAAAUUAUUGCUUUUAUGAAAGAUUGUGACUUGUCCAAAGUGUUUUGACCUUUCCGAUAAGACACAACAAACAUUCACUCAAGCUACCCUUUGUAGUCUAUAAAUAGAGGGAUUUCCUCUAAUUUUAAAAUAACGAAAAUACAUGUCCUUUGCUCCUAUUGAGUGGCUAACUGACACCAUUGUUUUUCAAUCAACACACUGGUGAAUAGAAUCGUUCUGUCCUGACAAGAUAUAUUCCUUUAAACUUCGGGUACUAGAAUGAAAAAAAUUCCUUAAGGGGACAAUGUCCAAUAAGUGGGCUCGAUUUUUCCUUUAUGUUUCAUUUAUUAUUACAGAUCCUCUUAUGCUUUUUACAAUACUAAAUUUAUGCUUAAAUUAUUACUUUUUUUUUGAGUACAUGUUUUAAAUAUUUUUUUGUUUAUUUUUAUUCUUUUGAUCAUUGUUUGGAAGUAAAAAUAUUUUAAUCAAGAGUUUUAUAUAAUUAUUAGACUAUUCGUGUCAUUUAUAUGAAAAUUCUUGAAGUACAAAAAUAAAUGUGCUUGAUUUUUAUAGACUUUUAGUGGCUAAAAGAUCCAUGGGAUGUCUAAGAAGGGACUUUGAGUGUGCAAAAGAUAUGGUUGUUCCACACUACCUUGGUGUUUUAUUUAUUCAAUUUUCUAUCUUAUCGAGUCUUUUAAUCGAUAAAUGAGAUCCAAAAAAUAAAGGAAUGUAGUAGGACAGUAAGUAUUGUGCUCCACAUUAAUCAAACGUUUGGGGUUUAAAUGUUGGGUUGGAGUCAAUGAAUUACCCCUCAAAGUAGAAUAAAUCUAUAUUAAUCUAAUGUAAAAGAAACAAUUAUUUUCUUAUAAAUUGUAGAUUGAAAUUCCUCCACAUAAGUAAGUUUUAACUAUAUUGAUCGAAACAUAAACAACAAAAUAUUCCUUUUGGCUAUCAAAGUAACGUCAUCGAGUGCAUAUGAUUUUGAAUAAGGGGCAUGAAAAGACAUCAUUUAAUAUAAAUUAAUUGAACGACAUACGUUAUUUAAUUGAACUUCAAGGGAUGCAUUUUUCUAUUUUAAUUAACUUAUCAAGUACAAAAAUAAUUAUAUAAGAUGUAUAAUAUUUAAAUUCUACAUGUAGAGGCCUUGAAUAGGAGAAAAAUUCUCGCAAUUGAUGAAUACAUUUUUUUUACAAAUUUUUGAAAAUAUACAUAGAUAGACAAUGAAGCAAUUACAUAUCUUUUCUAAAGACUUUGGUGAUGAACAACUACAUUUAAAUUGUAGAAUUAAUAACAAAAUUCAUAAAAACGUAGAAUCAAAUAUUUACCUACUAUAUAUAUAAAAGAGAACCCUUGGUCGCCUACGUUGUGCCACUACAAACGAACAUUCUCUUUAAAUUUAUUUUAUUUCAAAAACCAGCCUUCCUUUUUAAUGAAAAGUUAUGACUUUUAUGAAAAUUUGUAAAUUUUUUCCAUGAAGAGUUGUGACUUAUGAAGACUUGCAACUUUUAUGAAAUGUUGUGACCUUUCUGGAGGCUUGUAACUUUUCAAAAAGGUUGUGACUUUUCUGAUAAGAAACAGUAACCACAUUUCUACACUACUUUUUGUUGUCUAUAAAUAGAGGACUAUACUUUGCAUUCCGUGGGCUCAACUUUUUUCAUUCUGUUUCAUUCUAUUAUUGCAUAUUCUAGUAAAUUUUUUACAAUCAUUAGUUUAUGCUUAUAUUAUUAGUUGUUGUUUUUUGAAUAUAUGUUUUAAACUUUGAUUUUUAUAUUUAUGUAAAGUUUAUGUUAUAAGUAUUUGUUAGUUAGAUUAAAUAACAAAUGUUAAUAGAAUAUUCAAGAAAGUUUUCGCGUCUGAAAUUAUUGAAGAUACCUUUAAAAAGCCCUUACAAUUCUCAAAUUUCUUCAUCAACAACGUUAUUCCUUCACAAACGAGGAGGUGAUUUUGUGUUAUUCAGAAAAUCAAUGUGAGAAUUAAUAACUAUGCGUGUGCAUAUUUUUUGUUUUUACGUGGAUAUUAUGAGUACUUUAAUGACUGAAAGUUUAUUGAAGUGUCAGUCAAUUAAAGUGGAGGUAUCUUAUUUCAAUAUAUAGGAAUUUUUUUGGUGAAAAUGAUUUGUUAUCAUCAUUGGAUAUAUCAUAGUUUACCUCCUUUAUUGUAUGUUUUUUCUCGCUCUUUUGUUUUCUCCUUACAAUUGAAUUGAUUUUUUUUGACAUGUAUAUAAAGCCACUAUGACGAAAAUCUUCGUCCUUUUAAUGUUUAUUUUCAUUUUCUCAUUUAAUCUUCUAAAUAUUUUGGACGUAUGAUGUGACUAUUUUAGCCAAUCUUAAUUUGAAAAAUAUGAAACAAACCUACAAAUAAAAGUAAUAUUUUAAGUUAAAGAAGAUAAGUCUGUUAAAAUAAAUUUGUUGUCCUUCAUUCCUCAAGUCAUUGUUAAGCGUUCAAAUUGUCUAAGUUAGACUCAUUUUUAAUUUUUAAUGUUUGAGAAUGUUUCUUUAACAUGAGUCCAGAAUAAAACAUUUUCAUCUCUGUAUACUUUAAUAAUGAAAUAAUCAUACAUAAAUAUUCCUAAAAAGUCAUAAAGUUACAUUGAUGAAGAAUUCAGAAUGGCCUUCUGUAGUUCAAUGAAGAGUGAAUUUGUAUAAGGGUUAAAAAUAUUAUUUUGUUGUGGUUUCAAAUAAAUUUUUCUCUUUCUAUAAUUUUUUUAUAAUAACAAAGUAAUAAUAACGAAAAGUGAGAAACAUUUGACCUCAAAGAAGUAGAUUGUCUCUAAAAAUAUUAUUUCUGUUGUUGCGGUGUAUACUUUUUAACGGACAUAACUUAUUUAUAACUAUAUUGAUUAUCAAAAACUUUCACAAAAUGUUGUUACACAAGGAGUUAUUAUAACCAUAAAUCUAUUAGAUUCUAUAUUUCAUGUAUAAAAAAAAGAUUUUUAAUGGCUACAUAAAAACAUGACUCAAUUUUAACAAGAAAAUUAUAUCAUAAAACAUAUAAUAUGAUAAAUUAUGUAAAAGAUAAAAAUAAUUAAAUAUCAAGAUAUUUCUAAUCAUUAAUUGUAUAUUAAUAAUUUUUGAGAUAUGAGAUAACGUCAAAUCAUGUAAUUUGUCUAUAAAUUUUUAAAAACCUACAAAAAUUUACUUUUUUCUUAUUAUAGUCGAUCAUUGGUAAAGUUGUUCACAAGUUUAGAAAGAUUUCUUAUGUCCGCAACCAAUGAAGCCUUUUCAUUUGUUUUGGAAUCUGGGCCCAAAACGUCUCAGCCUUCUUAAUGUAAAAAAAGGUGAAAAAAAAUAUGCACAGAGUGAGAAUCAAACUCGACCAUUCCAGGCGGAACUUGAACCCCUUAUUCAUUACGCGAUCCUCUAUUUAAUAUUUAGGGGUUCAUUUUGAUUAAUAUACUCAUAAAACCAGAAAUUGACCUUACAUAUACAGUUUAAUUUUUCGACGUAGGGGGUUCGAGUGAACCCCCUAGAUUGCACAUGUAUCCGCCCCUGUGUGCGGGAUAUGGGAAGAGAAAUAAUUCACAUGGAUUCAACUCAUAGCUUUGUAAAACUGAGUAGACUAAUCAGACCUCAAGAAAUACGUGUUGUUGUACAACGAAAUAGUUGGUGUUAUCAGCUAAAGAAAAAACAUACAAUAAAAGAAGAAAAGAGAGACAUAAUAUUAAGUUAGAAGAAGAAAUGUUUAAAUAGAAGGAAAUCCUAACAUUUUGGAGUACAUAAUUAAGUAACUGGAAAAAAACUAGGCACUAAGUCUACCAACAACUCAACAUGCCUAAAGACUAGGAAACUCAAAACUGAAAAACUAAAACUGAAAUAUUUAUAUUUAGAAAAUAGAAAAAACAUCAUCAGCCAUGUCACCAUGCCAAUUCAACAUCAAUUAAUAACUCAAGAGGUAGAUUUCAACACUUCUCCUUGCAUCAAGAGCUGCAAAUUCCAUGUCCCUUUCCGAAUAACUCAAAUUUGCUUGCCGGAAGAGUUUUUGUAAAAAUAUCAGUCAGCUGCUCUUUCGUUCUGCAAUAUACCAGAUUCGCUAAACCAUCCCUUGCACUUCUCUUAGAAUGUAUAGAGUCACAUUGAAAUGUAUUGUCUUUCUAUGAAAAAUUGGAUUGUGAGAAAUAGCAGAGGCAACUUUUUUUCCCACACAUAUUUUAGUGCUUUCCUUCAUUUCCAAUCAAAGACCGCAUAAGAUUUUCUUUAUCCAUAAAGCUUGAUUGCCUGGUGCUGUAGCAGCAAUGAAUUCUGCUGCUGCAAUUUAUUGAGCAACAAUCUCUCUUUUUUUUGGAACAACAAGAAACGUAUCCAGCACCAAAAAUAAAACCGUACCCUGAAGUACUUUUCAUAUCAUAGUCCAUUGAGCCUGUGAUAUAUCUGAGUACUCUUUUUGCAGCUUGUAUAUGCAAUUCACUAGAAGAAUUCAAGAAUCGGGAUAGAACACUUAGAUCAUACAAUAUAUGUGGUCUUGUUGCUAUAAGAUACAUCAAACAUCCUAUCAGCUUUUGCAUAUCCAGCUGGUUCAAAUACGACUACAUUUCAUCUUUGAUAGAUACUUGAAAGUGAUUUAGUUCCUCGAACGGGAAGAUGAUCAACUCGUUCCUCAAAAUUGUGCAAUUCAUUAGCUUUUCAUUCUUGUUUUUCUCCAUCCUUAUACGGUUGCUUUUGUUAUAAAAAAUACACAUCUCUGUAAACCAAAAAUAUUCCAUUUUCAGAUCGGAAAGUUCUGUAAGCUUUUUACUGCAAAGCUAUAGCCAAUGAAAUUCUAGGUUCUACCUUCUUGUCAAGUUUAUCCAUUUUCAGCUAAGGUAUGUGAGAAAAGCAUAAGCAACAAAAAAUAUUGAGAUUUUUUUGUGAAGGUUUGUAAGCAUUUCAUGCUUCAAAAGGUGUUUGACCAGUAACUGCCUUUGUAUGCAGCAAAUUCAACAAAAAUACAGUAGUAUUAGCUGCCUCUGCCCAUAACUCCUUGGGAAGAUCUUUCUCAUGCAACAUACACCUUGAUAUCUUCUUGACGAUCGUAGUCUUCCUUACGCUAACUCCAUUUUUCUGAGGAGUUUAUGGAGUAGUGAGUUGAUGCUCUAUUCCAGCAACUUUACAAAAGUUUUGAACUGAUCUGAUGUGGACUAAGUUCCAUUAUCUGAUCUGAGCACUUGUAGUUUGCAGCCGCUUUGAUUUUUACCAAGGCUUUUAAUUUUCAAAAAGCAUCAGCUACCUCCGAUUUAAUCUUAAGAAGUAUAUCUAACAUCCUUAAUAUAUCAUCAAUAGAAAUCAUGUAGUACCUGUUUCCUUUCAAUGAUAUAGUUCUUUGCGGGCCUCCAAGAUAUAUAUGAAUUAGUUGCAAUUUUCAGUCGCUCUCCAAGUUUAUUUUGGGAAUGGCGAUCUCGUCUGCAUACCAAGUUGACAUGCCUCGCAAAUUGGGAGUUUUGUUCAAGUGAAGGUAAACCGUUUACCAACACUUUUUUUUGCAUAUACAAAAGCACCCUGUGGUGAAAGUGACCCAACCGUUUGUGCCAUGUUUCUCCAACACCAGACUUAAUUGGAUUCCAUUUGGAUAAAUGAUCAGACACACCUUAUCUUCAAAAAGUAAUUUGAACCCAUUUUCAAGUAACCGUCCAACAUUUAAUAAAUUUUUAUCAAGUUCAGAAUUAAAUAGAACUUGAGAAACAAAUUUUGUGCCUAUAUAAUCUCAAUAGCUACAGUCCACUUUCCUUUUGUAGGGAAGUAUUCUCCAUUUCCAGUCCUGACUCUUGAUGUUGUUGUUUUAUCAAGCCUUUUGAAUAGCUUUCCAUCACUAGUCAUGUGGUUUUUACAACCACUAUCAAUAAGACAACUGUCACUUGAAAUACUAGAUGCAAAACUUGAUGCAAUAAAUUUGAGCUUCUAGUUAGUUCCUAAGAAAGUAUGAAUUGUCUAUACACCUAAAACAUGAAGCCCUUUCAGCAGCUUCUUUGAACUGGUAUUGGUUUCUUCUUUGAUCAGACAUCAAUGACCCCUGAAUGUUGUUCUAUAUUCUUCUCUGUAGCUAAGCUCCUAUGAGAGUAUUCGACUGGUCCGUGCUUAGAGCUUCAGUAAAGAUGUCACCCACUUAAUCUUCCUUCUUACAAAACAUUAUGAUGACACUAUCCCUCUUUAUCAUUUUUUAACAUCAAAUAUUUACGUCGUUUGAUAGCUCAUUAAUGUGCUUUUCAGGACAACCGAGGGUACCUUUCAAGGUGCGCUAUAUCUGUAGCUCUAGGAAGAAAUUUAAUUCUUCCAUUAUGUUUAUUUCAACACUCACUUUCAAUGAGUUAAAUAGAAAUAAGAUCUUCACACAACACCUCAAAGAUUGCCUCAAAGAUGACAUCAUCAAUAUGUACCUGAAUGAUCAGCAGUUCCUUGUAUAUUGAAUUCAAAGAGAAGAGUUUUUGACAAUUUUACUUCUCUUGAAGACAUUGUUGAGGAGCAACUUGGACAACCGAUCAUCUUGUAGGGUAAUCGACUAUCAGAUUUUUAUUCUUUCAAACUGAGAUUGAUUAGCUUCUUCAUUGUCACCUUCGAAUGUCACAUUAUCAGUUUGAACUGCAUCAUCUUUGUUCAGCACUAUCUAGAAACCAGGUCUCUCAUCAAGUUCAUCAUCUACAUGAUCUUAUUUGAGAUUGUUGGAUUCAUGAAUAGGAUGUUCUUCAGCAAGCUCACUAUUUAAACCAUUUCUCUGAUUCUGAAGCAACUCUUCUAUCUCAAAAACUUCUUUCCUUGCAACUUCCAAAAUCUUCUAGACUCAUCAAUAAACACAUGACCAUUUUUAGUAUACCCCUGAUAAGCCUUGCUGGUGGAGUAGUGUACCACAAUUAUUCUUUCAUCAAUGUUAAGAUCAAACAUCUCAUUAUCAUCAUUUUGGUCACAAACAUGUACCAUUUAUCACUUCAGUCAAAAGUUUCUUGAAAGAUUUAAAGUCUGCAUAUUUCACCUGAAGGACGUCUGAUCUGCUUCUCCUUAACAUCAUCAUCAUAACCUUUGUCAUUUACAAAUAUUAUUUUAUGCAGACUGGACCAGGUCCCCUGACACAGGUUUGUCCAGCAAAGCAACACUCAUGAGCACGUUUCCUUAAUCACACCCAAUACCUUGAGCAUUAAGUUCAGUGAGACUAUCAAAAUGAGCAGUAAAAAGAUCAGCAAUAUAUAUAUUCUUGCAUCUCUUUUCUAUCAAAAUCAUCGACCGAGAGAGCAAGUUUGAGACAAAACAGUUAUCUGAUAAGAGCUUACCUUAAUUUCAUUCAUCACAAAUCUACACCAAUAAUGUAGUGUUUAUUGCCAUUUGCCAAAAGAGACAUCUCCACCUUGAAGUGUCUUGAGAGAGAGGAAGUUCAGUGCUUUGAGCAUCCACCAUUCAUGAAUCGACACUGGUUGUUGCCACUUCCUCUCACAAGAAUGUCAUGUCACGUGUUAGCCUUGGGAACCCACUUCAGUUGAAGUUUCCAGUAAGAAGAUAAAGGAGUGAUAAGAGAAUUCUUUGUCCAGUGAGGCAAAUUUAUAUUUUUCAACUUAGGAAUAGAAGCAAGAACAGGUCCCUUCUUCUGCAAGUUCUUCUGUUGGACAUACAUAGGACCAGGUCCUUUCUUCAGUCUAUUCCGUUAUUUGGAAUAGUUUGAUGAACUUUCUCCACAAUCUUUAAAUGCAGGACAUUCUCUUUUGCAACUCAGAUCUCCUUUUAUGUUGUUUCUUUGACUGAGUAUAUUUGUAAGGAUCUUAGAGGAAUUAGUCCAUUUGAGGGAAUUUUCAAGUUCCUCUUUUACACGGACCAGGUCCCUCUCCAAUGCAUGAUUUCUCUCGAAAGCCACCUUAAUCUUCAUUUUAGCAGUAUGCAGCUUAUUUUCAAGGUCUAGCUGCAAUUUGAUAGCCUCACUCUUUUUAUUUUAAAAAUUGUAGUAGUCGCCCCUUUUAUCUUUUCCUUUAGUUCUAGAUUUUCUGUUUCUAGAACAACCAUUUGACUUUCAAUAUCAGAUACUUGGGCAACUAAAUCAGUUUUUCAAUCUUGAAAGAUGUCUAGGUUGUUGUUUACGAGAUCUUUCUCAUCUUUCAUCUCACUUAUCAAAUAAGAUAGACUUACCUUUUCAUCAGAAUCUUCUUCGUCUGACUUUGCCAUAAAACCAUUAUCUGUGUUUUCAGAAUCAUCUGAAUCACUUGAGGAUUUUUCCCAUGCAGCCAUUUUUCUUUUUACUGCCCCGAAGAAGACUUCUCUUCUGCUUAUCUUGGGACAGACCUGGUCCCCUUCUUUGUCUUUACCUUUUGUAUUCUUGACACUAGGAACAGGUUCUUCAAGGAACAUGAGCUCAUCUAUGAUUUUGGAGAAUCUGGUGCGCACUUCAUGAAUGAGUUCACCAUCAUUCAUGCUGAAAUCUUCAAACUGAGUAGAAAAAAAAUCUACCUUAGAUUUCCUUAUUUUCUCAGUGCCCUCAUAUUUUGUUUUUAACAGAUCCCAAAUUUCCUUGGCUGAUUCACAUGAUGAAAUCAGAUCGUAUUCAUUUAUACUAAGGCCACACAUCAAUAGCUUCCCUGGUUUAUGAUUUUUCUGGACUAAUAGUUUGUCAGAGUCAUUAAAUUGUUUUCUAGUUUUGAAAAUGACUCUUGUGACCUCUCCAUCUUUAACCUCCAUAGUUGACACAUAAGGACCUUAACAUAUGACAUCCCAUACUUCACUGUCCUCACCCAUGAGAUAAUCUCUCAUCUGAAUCUUCCAAUGUUCAUAGAGUUUACUAUCAAACAGUGGAGGUCUUGUGGGGGACUGAUUUCUUUGAUUAUUUAGUAGUGACGCCAUUUCUCGCAGGAACUUUUCUCUUGGCGUUAACCAGAUAAAGAGCACCUGCUCUGAUACCAUUUGUUGGAAUAUGUGCGUCCACUACCAGUCAAUGAACCACGUCCCUUGACACAACAAGAACAGUGCGGAACAUUAAACAAUAUGUAUGUAUGUAUGUAUGUAUGUGUGUGUGUGUGUAUGUGUGUAUGUUGUAUGUAUGUAUGUAUGUAUGUAUAUAUGUAUUUAUAUAUAUGUAUUAUCAUCAUAUCAUAUAUUUAUAUGAAAGAGAACCUUAGGCCUGCUUAUUUGGCGCCACUACAAACCAGGAUUCACUUUUUCCUUAAUUAUUCUCAAAAUUAGUCUUUCCAUACAUGAAAAGUUGUGACUUUUAUGAAAAAUUGUGACUUUUUAUGAAAAUUUCUGACAUAUACGAAGUGUUGCAAAUUUUAUGAAGAGUUGUGACUUUUAUGAAGAGUUGCAAAUUUUACGACAAGUUGCGACUUAUAUGAAGGGUGGCAACUUUAGUAAAAAAUUAUUGCUUUUAUGAAAGAUUGUGACUUGUCCAAAGUGUUUUGACCUUUCCGAUAAGACACAACAAACAUUCACUCAAGCUACCCUUUGUAGUCUAUAAAUAGAGGGAUUUCCUCUAAUUUUAAAAUAACGAAAAUACAUGUCCUUUGCUCCUAUUGAGUGGCUAACUGACACCAUUGUUUUUCAAUCAACACACUGGUGAAUAGAAUCGUUCUGUCCUGACAAGAUAUAUUCCUUUAAACUUCGGGUACUAGAAUGAAAAAAAUUCCUUAAGGGGACAAUUUCCAAUAAGUGGGCUCGAUUUUUCCUUUAUGUUUCAUUUAUUAUUACAGAUCCUCUUAUGCUUUUUACAAUACUAAAUUUAUGCUUAAAUUAUUACUUUUUUUUUUGAGUACAUGUUUUAAAUAUUUUUUUGUUUAUUUUUAUUCUUUUGAUCAUUGUUUGGAAGUAAAAAUAUUUUAAUCAAGAGUUUUAUAUAAUUAUUAGACUAUUCGUGUCAUUUAUAUGAAAAUUCUUGAAGUACAAAAAUAAAUGUGCUUGAUUUUUAUAGACUUUUAGUGGCUAAAAGAUCCAUGGGAUGUCUAAGAAGGGACUUUGAGUGUGCAAAAGAUAUGGUUGUUCCACACUACCUUGGUGUUUUAUUUAUUCAAUUUUCUAUCUUAUCGAGUCUUUUAAUCGAUAAAUGAGAUCCAAAAAAUAAAGGAAUGUAGUAGGACAGUAAGUAUUGUGCUCCACAUUAAUCAAACGUUUGGGGUUUAAAUGUUGGGUUGGAGUCAAUGAAUUACCCCUCAAAGUAGAAUAAAUCUAUAUUAAUCUAAUGUAAAAGAAACAAUUAUUUUCUUAUAAAUUGUAGAUUGAAAUUCCUCCACAUAAGUAAGUUUUAACUAUAUUGAUCGAAACAUAAACAACAAAAUAUUCCUUUUGGCUAUCAAAGUAACGUCAUCGAGUGCAUAUGAUUUUGAAUAAGGGGCAUGAAAAGACAUCAUUUAAUAUAAAUUAAUUGAACGACAUACGUUAUUUAAUUGAACUUCAAGGGAUGCAUUUUUCUAUUUUAAUUAACUUAUCAAGUACAAAAAUAAUUAUAUAAGAUGUAUAAUAUUUAAAUUCUACAUGUAGAGGCCUUGAAUAGGAGAAAAAUUCUCGCAAUUGAUGAAUACAUUUUUUUUACAAAUUUUUGAAAAUAUACAUAGAUAGACAAUGAAGCAAUUACAUAUCUUUUCUAAAGACUUUGGUGAUGAACAACUACAUUUAAAUUGUAGAAUUAAUAACAAAAUUCAUAAAAACGUAGAAUCAAAUAUUUACCUACUAUAUAUAUAAAAGAGAACCCUUGGUCGCCUACGUUGUGCCACUACAAACGAACAUUCUCUUUAAAUUUAUUUUAUUUCAAAAACCAGCCUUCCUUUUUAAUGAAAAGUUAUGACUUUUAUGAAAAUUUGUAAAUUUUUUCCAUGAAGAGUUGUGACUUAUGAAGACUUGCAACUUUUAUGAAAUGUUGUGACCUUUCUGGAGGCUUGUAACUUUUCAAAAAGGUUGUGACUUUUCUGAUAAGAAACAGUAACCACAUUUCUACACUACUUUUUGUUGUCUAUAAAUAGAGGACUAUACUUUGCAUUCCGUGGGCUCAACUUUUUUCAUUCUGUUUCAUUCUAUUAUUGCAUAUUCUAGUAAAUUUUUUACAAUCAUUAGUUUAUGCUUAUAUUAUUAGUUGUUGUUUUUUGAAUAUAUGUUUUAAACUUUGAUUUUUAUAUUUAUGUAAAGUUUAUGUUAUAAGUAUUUGUUAGUUAGAUUAAAUAACAAAUGUUAAUAGAAUAUUCAAGAAAGUUUUCGCGUCUGAAAUUAUUGAAGAUACCUUUAAAAAGCCCUUACAAUUCUCAAAUUUCUUCAUCAACAACGUUAUUCCUUCACAAACGAGGAGGUGAUUUUGUGUUAUUCAGAAAAUCAAUGUGAGAAUUAAUAACUAUGCGUGUGCAUAUUUUUUGUUUUUACGUGGAUAUUAUGAGUACUUUAAUGACUGAAAGUUUAUUGAAGUGUCAGUCAAUUAAAGUGGAGGUAUCUUAUUUCAAUAUAUAGGAAUUUUUUUGGUGAAAAUGAUUUGUUAUCAUCAUUGGAUAUAUCAUAGUUUACCUCCUUUAUUGUAUGUUUUUUCUCGCUCUUUUGUUUUCUCCUUACAAUUGAAUUGAUUUUUUUUGACAUGUAUAUAAAGCCACUAUGACGAAAAUCUUCGUCCUUUUAAUGUUUAUUUUCAUUUUCUCAUUUAAUCUUCUAAAUAUUUUGGACGUAUGAUGUGACUAUUUUAGCCAAUCUUAAUUUGAAAAAUAUGAAACAAACCUACAAAUAAAAGUAAUAUUUUAAGUUAAAGAAGAUAAGUCUGUUAAAAUAAAUUUGUUGUCCUUCAUUCCUCAAGUCAUUGUUAAGCGUUCAAAUUGUCUAAGUUAGACUCAUUUUUAAUUUUUAAUGUUUGAGAAUGUUUCUUUAACAUGAGUCCAGAAUAAAACAUUUUCAUCUCUGUAUACUUUAAUAAUGAAAUAAUCAUACAUAAAUAUUCCUAAAAAGUCAUAAAGUUACAUUGAUGAAGAAUUCAGAAUGGCCUUCUGUAGUUCAAUGAAGAGUGAAUUUGUAUAAGGGUUAAAAAUAUUAUUUUGUUGUGGUUUCAAAUAAAUUUUUCUCUUUCUAUAAUUUUUUUAUAAUAACAAAGUAAUAAUAACGAAAAGUGAGAAACAUUUGACCUCAAAGAAGUAGAUUGUCUCUAAAAAUAUUAUUUCUGUUGUUGCGGUGUAUACUUUUUAACGGACAUAACUUAUUUAUAACUAUAUUGAUUAUCAAAAACUUUCACAAAAUGUUGUUACACAAGGAGUUAUUAUAACCAUAAAUCUAUUAGAUUCUAUAUUUCAUGUAUAAAAAAAAGAUUUUUAAUGGCUACAUAAAAACAUGACUCAAUUUUAACAAGAAAAUUAUAUCAUAAAACAUAUAAUAUGAUAAAUUAUGUAAAAGAUAAAAAUAAUUAAAUAUCAAGAUAUUUCUAAUCAUUAAUUGUAUAUUAAUAAUUUUUGAGAUAUGAGAUAACGUCAAAUCAUGUAAUUUGUCUAUAAAUUUUUAAAAACCUACAAAAAUUUACUUUUUUCUUAUUAUAGUCGAUCAUUGGUAAAGUUGUUCACAAGUUUAGAAAGAUUUCUUAUGUCCGCAACCAAUGAAGCCUUUUCAUUUGUUUUGGAAUCUGGGCCCAAAACGUCUCAGCCUUCUUAAUGUAAAAAAAGGUGAAAAAAAAUAUGCACAGAGUGAGAAUCAAACUCGACCAUUCCAGGCGGAACUUGAACCCCUUAUUCAUUACGCGAUCCUCUAUUUAAUAUUUAGGGGUUCAUUUUGAUUAAUAUACUCAUAAAACCAGAAAUUGACCUUACAUAUACAGUUUAAUUUUUCGACGUAGGGGGUUCGAGUGAACCCCCUAGAUUGCACAUGUAUCCGCCCCUGUGUGCGGGAUAUGGGAAGAGAAAUAAUUCACAUGGAUUCAACUCAUAGCUUUGUAAAACUGAGUAGACUAAUCAGACCUCAAGAAAUACGUGUUGUUGUACAACGAAAUAGUUGGUGUUAUCAGCUAAAGAAAAAACAUACAAUAAAAGAAGAAAAGAGAGACAUAAUAUUAAGUUAGAAGAAGAAAUGUUUAAAUAGAAGGAAAUCCUAACAUUUUGUAGUACAUAAUUAAGUAACUGGAAAAAAACUAGGCACUAAGUCUACCAACAACUCAACAUGCCUAAAGACUAGGAAACUCAAAACUGAAAAACUAAAACUGAAAUAUUUAUAUUUAGAAAAUAGAAAAAACAUCAUCAGCCAUGUCACCAUGCCAAUUCAACAUCAAUUAAUAACUCAAGAGGUAGAUUUCAACACUUCUCCUUGCAUCAAGAGCUGCAAAUUCCAUGUCCCUUUCCGAAUAACUCAAAUUUGCUUGCCGGAAGAGUUUUUGUAAAAAUAUCAGUCAGCUGCUCUUUCGUUCUGCAAUAUACCAGAUUCGCUAAACCAUCCCUUGCACUUCUCUUAGAAUGUAUAGAGUCACAUUGAAAUGUAUUGUCUUUCUAUGAAAAAUUGGAUUGUGAGAAAUAGCAGAGGCAACUUUUUUUCCCACACAUAUUUUAGUGCUUUCCUUCAUUUCCAAUCAAAGACCGCAUAAGAUUUUCUUUAUCCAUAAAGCUUGAUUGCCUGGUGCUGUAGCAGCAAUGAAUUCUGCUGCUGCAAUUUAUUGAGCAACAAUCUCUCUUUUUUUUGGAACAACAAGAAACGUAUCCAGCACCAAAAAUAAAACCGUACCCUGAAGUACUUUUCAUAUCAUAGUCCAUUGAGCCUGUGAUAUAUCUGAGUACUCUUUUUGCAGCUUGUAUAUGCAAUUCACUAGAAGAAUUCAAGAAUCGGGAUAGAACACUUAGAUCAUACAAUAUAUGUGGUCUUGUUGCUAUAAGAUACAUCAAACAUCCUAUCAGCUUUUGCAUAUCCAGCUGGUUCAAAUACGACUACAUUUCAUCUUUGAUAGAUACUUGAAAGUGAUUUAGUUCCUCGAACGGGAGGAUGAUCAACUCGUUCCUCAAAAUUGUGCAAUUCAUUAGCUUUUCAUUCUUGUUUUUCUCCAUCCUUAUACGGUUGCUUUUGUUAUAAAAAAUACACAUCUCUGUAAACCAAAAAUAUUCCAUUUUCAGAUCGGAAAAUUCUGUAAGCUUUUUACUGCAAAGCUAUAGCCAAUGAAAUUCUAGGUUCUACCUUCUUGUCAAGUUUAUCCAUUUUCAGCUAAGGUAUGUGAGAAAAGCAUAAGCAACAAAAAAUAUUGAGAUUUUUUUGUGAAGGUUUGUAAGCAUUUCAUGCUUCAAAAGGUGUUUGACCAGUAACUGCCUUUGUAUGCAGCAAAUUCAACAAAAAUACAGUAGUAUUAGCUGCCUCUGCCCAUAACUCCUUGGGAAGAUCUUUCUCAUGCAACAUACACCUUGAUAUCUUCUUGACGAUCGUAGUCUUCCUUACGCUAACUCCAUUUUUCUGAGGAGUUUAUGGAGUAGUGAGUUGAUGCUCUAUUCCAGCAACUUUACAAAAGUUUUGAACUGAUCUGAUGUGGACUAAGUUCCAUUAUCUGAUCUGAGCACUUGUAGUUUGCAGCCGCUUUGAUUUUUACCAAGGCUUUUAAUUUUCAAAAAGCAUCAGCUACCUCCGAUUUAAUCUUAAGAAGUAUAUCUAACAUCCUUAAUAUAUCAUCAAUAGAAAUCAUGUAGUACCUGUUUCCUUUCAAUGAUAUAGUUCUUUGCGGGCCUCCAAGAUAUAUAUGAAUUAGUUGCAAUUUUCAGUCGCUCUCCAAGUUUAUUUUGGGAAUGGCGAUCUCGUCUGCAUACCAAGUUGACAUGCCUCGCAAAUUGGGAGUUUUGUUCAAGUGAAGGUAAACCGUUUACCAACACUUUUUUUUGCAUAUACAAAAGCACCCUGUGGUGAAAGUGACCCAACCGUUUGUGCCAUGUUUCUCCAACACCAGACUUAAUUGGAUUCCAUUUGGAUAAAUGAUCAGACACACCUUAUCUUCAAAAAGUAAUUUGAACCCAUUUUCAAGUAACCGUCCAACAUUUAAUAAAUUUUUAUCAAGUUCAGAAUUAAAUAGAACUUGAGAAACAAAUUUUGUGCCUAUAUAAUCUCAAUAGCUACAGUCCACUUUCCUUUUGUAGGGAAGUAUUCUCCAUUUCCAGUCCUGACUCUUGAUGUUGUUGUUUUAUCAAGCCUUUCGAAUAGCUUUCCAUCACUAGUCAUGUGGUUUUUACAACCACUAUCAAUAAGACAACUGUCACUUGAAAUACUAGAUGCAAAACUUGAUGCAAUAAAUUUGAGCUUCUCCUUGUUCUCGUUGUUGUCGUCCUUUCUCUUUGUAGAUGAUCUCAUCAUGCCCAAGUUUUUGAUAUUUUGGCACCUCAUAUACGCCUUUCUCUAGCAUUUCAAGUGAGGAUGAUUCUUCCUUUGACAAUAUUGACAUGGGGGAAUUUUUCUCCUCAGUUGCUGACUAAAUUGUAGCUACUUCCAGUACCAACGGAAACAAGACUAUUUUCUGCAUAAUUCUUCUUCCCUUUGAUUUUCUUGUUUUUUUUCAAGGAGAGUUUUGCCGAUUGUCCUGAAGUGCACCUUCUACCGAUCCUUCCUGUCUUAUUAACCUUCUUUGCUCGAGUACCUGCAAUUCAUUUGGUAAUCCUGCCAAAGUUAACCUUGACAGAUCCUUGGUAUUUUCUAUGGAAGUAAUGGUUGGUUCAAACUUCUCUUCUAUCAGGAAACUUAUUUCCCAACAUUCUUACCUUUAUGACGAUGCUAAGAAGCCUGUCUAAGUAUUCUUUGUCAUUUUCAGAAUCUUUCUUUCUUUGUACCUCAAAUUCUCUAUUGAUAUUCAUAGCUUUCAUACUUUUGAUUCGCUCAUGUCUUUGGUAUUCUUCUUUUAAAAAAUCCCAGAUUGCUUUUGCUGAUUCCAACGGCAUGAUUCCGGGAAAAGUUGUAGGUGAUAGUGCAGCAUAUAAGCAAGAUUUCGCGUUGGAUUUUCUUGUCUUGCUUUACUUGUUAAGCUUGACCUGAGUCAUUGCUCAAUUACUUGGUAAAACAGAUAUUAUGUAAUCCUCCUCUACUAGUUCCAGAGAUUAGUUCUCUCGAUAAAACAUUGGUGGAGAAAUAGCAGAAGAACCCGAAGAGUUUUUUGAAUUCAUGUUUCUGAUGGCUUUUCAAGGAAACAGGUAGGGACUUUAUUGAUGGUCCCCUUAUACUACACUCACCAUUUCCUAAUAAGAGGGUUCUGAUAUCAAUUUUUUGGUGUGAAGAGCUAAAGAAAAAACAUACGACAGAAGAAGAAAAAGAGAGAUGUUACAUUAAGUUGAAAGAAGAAAUCUUUAAAUAGAAGGAACUCCAAACAAUAUGUAGUAAAUAAUGUUGUAACUACAAAAACAGAAUCUUCCUAAUAAGUAGGCCCUAAGUCUUCCAACAACUCUACAUACCUAAAGACUAGGAAACUCAAAGCUGAAAAACUAAAACAGGAAUGUAUAUCCAUUAAAAACCAAAAAUACAUCAGCAACCAUGUCAUCAUGUCAACUCAACAUCAAUUAACAACUCAUGAGGUAGAUUGUAAUAGAAAUAAAGUAAGUAAAAUCUUUUAUAUUUAUCUUGGUUAUACUUGUUUAAAUUUAAUAUGAUAAACAUUUAUUAAUGAUUUCUAUUAUCGUCACAAGAAUUCAUUCUUUAUCUUUAUCUUUAUUUUUGUUAGUAAAUUAUCAAUUGUUUUUUGCCAGCCAUUGUGUACUUGAAAUGAGCAUUUACUUAAGUCCAAAAACUCUCAAAUACAAACAGGCUCUCAUUUAACAAUUAUCUAAAUCGUGUUUGAUGAUACAUAUUUACUAUUAAGUUCAAAGAAGGUAACGUAUUCAUUGUCCUUUAAUUUGUGUAACAAAUUUUUCUCUCUUAAUUUUAGUAGUUAACAUGGUUUUAUGGUACUUUUUCGUUUUACUAAAAUUCAGGGUUCCAAAAAUGUGGAAGUAGUGGUGGUACAAUGACAAUAUUAAAGGGUGUGAACUUGAGCACCAAUGCAUUUCAGGGCGGUUGCAAUAGACGGCAUGUUUUAUAUGAGGGGAGAUUUUUAGAUGUUGUCUAGGGAGCUCAGAUGAUUCUCUUGGAAACAACAUCUGUUAAAAUUUAUACUAUCAAAAUUUUCAGCUGAGAAACUUGUAUUUUUUUCUGAAUAUAAAUGAGAGUAAUAUCAAAGAAUUUUGUUUGAAUUUGUAGGUUCAUUACUCGAUUCUGCAAUUUCACGUGUUUUGCUUUAUUGCAACUAAGUGAAAGAAAAUCUUACUAGAAGUUAUUUUGUUUACUUUUAGUAUUGUAGAAGUUUCAAGAAGUUAGAUUGCGAACUCUUCAAAAGUAUUCUAAACUUCACAGUUCACUAAAUCUUGAUACUUUGGUGCUUCAGAAUUGCUCAAGUUUGAAGAAGAUCUAUCCAUCAACAGGAAAAUUGGAUAGACUAUAUGGUCUAUCUUUGUAUUGUUGCAAAAACAUUAUGGGUCUUCUGAGAAGCACAUGCCAGAUAAAAUCCCUUGAAUACUUGGACCGUAGUUAUUAUUGAUCUUUACAAACACUGCUAGCUGACAUUGGAGAUAUGCAGAGUCUAAGGCAUCUUCUUGCAUGUGAUACCAGUAUAAAACAAUUGUCUGUUGAAAUGUUAAGAAAACCAUAUUUAGAAUCCUUUCGAUGAAUGUUCCACAAGAUUAUAUAUAGAGAGAUACUUGGAGUUUAUCUUACUUAAUUGCUCUAGAUUUGAGCGGCAACAAUUUUCUCUAUCUACCAUUUGGUUUUUUGAAGUUACCAUUGUUGAUUUCCUUGUGUUUGAAUGAUUUUAAGAAUCAUCAAACACUGUAGUCAAUAUUAAAUUUAGAGUACCUUGAAAUUCUUGAACUUAGAAACUGCCAAAAAUUGGUCAUUACAGUGUUGACAACCUUCCUUCAAUUUAGAAGAUCGACAUGAUUAAUUGUACCUCUCUGCAGAUUCCAUUUGAUGAAGGCUUCUUUAGUGCCCCUGCUUUAUCGAUUCCAUCUAGGAAAUAUAUGAGUAUGAGUUUAGUCCUCUCUCUCUAUCUCGCUCUUAUCACAUUAUUAAUUAUCUAGUUGUAACAUCUCACAAUUUUAGAAAUCGUUAGGAAGAAGCAUAGAACCAGAAAUAGGCAUUUUCGUAAAUAAUUAAAUGGAUAUCUACUUGAGUUAGAAAAAAUGAGUUUCUGGUCAACUUCAACCGGUCAUAACUCCUAUCUCAGGAUGAGUUAGGUUUAUUUCAAGAUAUGGUCCGUAUGAGUAAGUUAUACCCUUUGUAAGUUGGUCUGUUCGGUUAAAGAAUUGGCAAAUCUGGAUUUUAGAAGGGUAGGUUGAUCUUUUUCUAAAAAUCAUGAGGCAUUUCCUAUCACAAAUCAUAAUCCUUGAAUUCAUAAUUCAAAUCAAGGAUAACGAAGGGCCAAUUCAAAGUAAAGUCAAGAGUCAAGUCAAUAAAAGUUUAUCCAAGAUUUCAAAGUUCUUUUACAAAUGUUUCAACUUUGUUUUAACAUUAAAGUUCACGAAAAGUUAAGCAAAGAGUUCAGAUUUGAAGUUCAUUUCUUCAAAAGUAUACGGGGACUUAAUAUUCCAGAAGGAUUAAAAAUGUUCACAUUUAAAGAAGAAUGGAAACUGAGAUUUCCAAAGAGCCUUUGGUCUAGUUUUCAGAGAAGAGUAAUCGCUUUAUAAAUGAAGAAAGAGAGAAAACAUUGAUUUCCAACGUAGUCUUUGAGCUAAUUUUUUGAGAAAUAAUCUCAAAUCAUAGAAGGAAGUAUGUUUCUAAACAUAAGAGCUAAUAUUAUAUUUUUUUGGAGUAGUAUUGAGCACCGAUAUGAGGAAGAGUUCAAACAACUCACAGCCCCCAUAAACCAUCUAGCCACCAUGAAUAGAAAAGGGUCAAUACUUUUAAGAUGAUUCCUUUAGUGCUUUUUAGCAUACACGAGUGGAUAUACUUAGUAGUUAGGUUCUAUACUAAUGGCAAGGUAUAAAAAGGACCUUGAAGCAUGAGGCAAAAUGAUGUAUCAUCACAAUAGCUCUUAUCUGAUGGUUGUCGAUUAGAGAAACUUCUACAUAAUUUAAUUGUAUUUUUUAUACACACAUACAUCUCAGAGUUAUAUUGUAUCUUUGUAUACAUAUUGAAGUAAUAUCAUGUUUUAACUAAUUUUUCUUGAUAUUGCACUUUUUUUAAAUUCCUCUAUAAUGAGUUCAGUCUUGUAGAGUUGAUUUUACCCAAGUAAGUUGUUCAAAUUUCCAUUCAAGCCUAUGUUCAUAUGUUAGCAUUCAAACUCGCAUACUCGUACAUUCGAUGUACUGAUUCCAGUUUUAAUGCAUUGUAUUAUGAUGCAGAUACAGGUAGCUAGGAUCGACAUGCAAUAAGUUAUUCAGAGUUAGUUGGUGAGCCUCCUUGUAUUCCGCAGGAUCCAUUUCAAUGCUUUCAGUAUUAGUUUUACAUUCACUAGGAUGCUGUGGGGCUUGUCCCAACAUCCAUCUCAAUUACUUUUAGAGGCUUCAUAGAAAGAUAAUAUUAGUUGUUUAGUCUUUUUAAUUUCAGUUGUAGAGUUUAAGACUUGAGUUACCAUUUUGGCUAAGAUAUUAUUUUUUUAAGUUAUUCAAUGAAUUUAUCUUUGUUGAGUUUAAGUCUUCAGCUGAUUAAGUAAGUCAGACCAAGGGUUCGCUUGGGGCCAGCAAUGGUUUUCGAGUGCCUGUCCCGCCCAAGGUGUAGACUCGGAGUGUGACACUAAUUAUGUCUUUGUCUAAUGAGGUAGGGGUUAGGAAUACAUCUCUAAAGCAAUGAAAUUACAUCACUAUGCUCAUCUAACAUAAUUAUAAUUUCUUAGGAAUGGUUCUCUGGUUUGUUUGUGACUUUAAUGUUUUAUCCCAUUAUGGACUCAUCCUUGUUAUUGUAUCGAACAACAAGCCUUUAUUUUUUGAGUGGACUAGGUAUAUAUUAUAAUAUCAAAUUUUUGACGCUUCAUUGUAGGUCAGUUAAAUUUGAAUUGUGUUUUUUUUAAACAACCGACAAAUGUAUUUCACUAACAUGUAAUUGGAAUUACAAAGAUAUUUAAGAACAAAAAUAGAAAUUGAAGAACACAAGUAGAAGAAAGCGAUAAGAAGCAAAUCUCAUAGAAAGGGGAUAAGAGGACAACAUGUUUCUCAAAAAUUUGCAUAAUCUCAAAAUCACAUAUCACUAUCCUUUUUUUAUGGAACCGCUUCUUUACUAUUACAUAGCCCUGAUUCCAAAUUAACCUGAUCCUAUUGCUCGUUCUCAGCCCAAUAACUCUUGUCAUAUCAAUAACGACUUGUAUUGCAUUAGUAUCUAUAUUGAGAUGGAAUUGAUUCAUAACCAAAAUGGUGUUGAAGCUAUUGCAGCUUAGUUUGGAGUAAAACAGUGUUUUUUCAAUGGACAUACUCAGGACAUUACUCAAUGCACAACCAACAUGGUGACAAAGGAACACACUUUCUACCUGAAUCUGAAGCAAAUUGUUGACACAUUAUUAACUACAAGAGAGGGUUGGAAUCCAAAUCACUCACCGCUACAUAGAAGGAAACCAAGUAGCUGUUUUUCUUGUUGCCUUUUUCAUUCUAAGGACACAAGUGGAUACUAAUACUAGUGUGCCUACUAUACUCAAACAUAGAGGAACAACAACCUAUAGAUCAUAGAGGCAAAACGAGUUGGUACAUAAGAGAAAUUGAGGAGACACAGGAUUGUCUGAAGUAUGUCAAUGCGGCUACAAGUGUGUUCCUUCCGAUCCUAUCCUUCCAUCACCACCUAUAACUAGAGGUUGUCAUUUGAGGUGUAGCCAAGAAGAAAGUAAGCAAACAAGUACAGAUUGGUACUCAGGACAAAAACUAACCUAGAUCUCAAGUAAAUAUAUUGUUUGAUGUUUAAUUUUUGAGCCUUUUCAUGGUUUAGCCCUAAGACCAACAACUUGGCUAGCGGCUGAGCUAUCCGUGUUCACAACAUAUAAUUCCAUCCACAUAUGGAUACAAUAUAUAUAUAUUAAUCCCACACUUUAAAAUCAGGAAGGCAUGACAUUGUAACCUGACAAAGAACAAAAACAAUUAUUAGAGAAAAUCAAACAAAUAAGAAGUCUCAAAUAAGUGUAUUAAUAAAAAUAUGAUUGCAGCGAAACAUAUCUCAUAGUCUUGAGAUUUUAAAAGUCACUAAAGAGGGAACACAUCAUCCUUCAAAACCAUCAAUUGUCUUAGUUUUGAAAUCUUCAAAACAAACAAACAAAAUGAAAUUAAAUAAUCACAAAUCAGAGCAACCCAAUGCUUCUUUGAUUCUUAAAAUUGUGGCGCUCAAAACACCAUUAACAGAACCCACUACCUCCAUUUUUUGCUGCCUAGAGGUUGGAUUAUUAUUACCACAAAUCAUUAUUUGAAAUGUCACUGUCAAAAUUGAACCAUUUUGUGCAUUUGCAGUGCUGUCCCUAUUCGAGGAGAGACGACCAUCAGGACUUAUAAUGAUACCAGAGGGCAAAAUGGGAACUUUCGU